UGGCUCAGUUGGUAGAGCAUGGUGUUUGCAACGCCAGGGUUGUGGGUUCUAUUCCCAC
rfam:Salmo salar isolate Sally breed double haploid chromosome ssa13, whole genome shotgun sequence.